AGAGUUUGAUCCUGGCUCAGGACGAACGCUGGCGGCGUGCUUAAUACAUGCAAGUCAAGGAGAAUUCCCGACUUGUCGGGAUAGUAAACUGGCGAACGGGUGAGUAACGCGUAGGUAAUCUGCCCUUGGGAUUGGGAUAACCCGCCGAAAGACGGACUAAUACCGGAUAAGGUCUUGGUAUUUUAUAUCAGGAUGAAAGAUAGGGAUCUUCGGACCUAUUACCUGAGGAUGAGCCUGCGUCUGAUUAGUUAGUUGGUGAGGUAAUGGCUUACCAAGGCGACGAUCAGUAGCUGGUCUGAGAGGAUGAUCAGCCACAUUGGGACUGAGAUACGGCCCAAACUCCUACGGGAGGCAGCAGUAAGGAAUUUUGCGCAAUGGCCGAAAGGCUGACACAGCAACGCCGCGUGACCGAUUGAAGCUCUGAGGAGUGUAAAGGUCUGUCGUAGGGGAAGAAUAUGUCCGAUAAUAAUAUUUUCGAACACUGACGGUACCCUAUGAGAAAGCUCCGGCUAACUCCGUGCCAGCAGCCGCGGUAAUACGGGGGGAGCUAGCGUUGUCCGGAAUUAUUGGGCGUAAAGAGCGUGUAGGCGUCCCAACAAGUUUCUGGUGAAAUACUUCUGCUUAACGGAAGAACUGCCAGAAAAACUGUUGGGAUUGAGUUCAGAAGAGGAAAGCGGAAUUCCUGGUGUAGCGGUGAAAUGCGUAGAUAUCAGGAAGAACACCAGUGGCGAAGGCGGCUUUCUAGUUUGAAACUGACGUUGAGACGCGAAAGCGUGGGUAGCAAACAGGAUUAGAUACCCUGGUAGUCCACGCCGUAAACGAUGGAUACUUGGUGUUGGGAGGUCGACCCUUUCAGUGCCGUAGUUAACGCGUUAAGUAUCCCGCCUGGGGACUACGGCCGCAAGGCUG
rnacentral:rRNA from 1 species